GAUGAACGCUGACAGAAUGCUUAACACAUGCAAGUCUACUUGAAUUUGGGUUUUUAACUUAGGUUUGGGUGGCGGACGGGUGAGUAACGCGUAAAGAACUUGCCUCACAGCUAGGGGCAACAUUUAGAAAUGAAUGCUAAUACCUAAUAUUAUGAUAAUAGGGCAUCCUAUAAUUAUGAAAGCUAUAUGCGCUGUGAGAGAGCUUUGCGUCCUAUUAGCUAGUUGGUAAGGUAAAGGCUUACCAAGGCGAUGAUAGGUAGCCGGCCUGAGAGGGUGGACGGCCACAAGGGGACUGAGAUACGGCCCUUACUCCUACGGGAGGCAGCAGUGGGGAAUAUUGGACAAUGGAGGAAACUCUGAUCCAGCAAUUCUGUGUGUGUGAAGAAGGUCUUCGGAUUGUAAAACACUUUUAGUUGGGAAGAAACAAAUGACGGUACCAA
rnacentral:rRNA from 1 species